CGUGCGUGCACGCACACACGCACCGAUGGCUUCAGGGAAGGGUAUUGUAACAGGGUGUUUGGCACUACUCUGCCAGCUCUUUUAGGAUCUGGCAGAGAUUUAGGAAAUCUCUCUGGAUUUCUCAGUCUUGAGUAAACAGUAGGUGUUUUGUUUAAGAUGGUGUAAAACUCUGUUUGCAGUCUCCCUUCAGUAUUGUUUCAGAGUCUGUGGCAAGAAUUAGCAGAGAAAAAUGACUGAGAGAAGAAAAUCAUAUUUCCCAUUUUCUGAGGAGCUCUUCUCAAAGCCUUGAUGCACUAAACUCAGGGAGAAGAUUUGAGCUUACUGAGGCAGGUUCAGCUGACUGAAGUUCACACUGAUACCCUUCUCAAAAAGACCCAAGAAGUAGUAUGAUACUCUAAGGGUAGCUGCUGCUGAAGCUGUUUUAUGUGCUGUGAUGAAACCAUGAGAUCAGAAUAUGAAAUGCUUCCGCAAAUAUUGACUACUCAAGGGUUACCAGUGUAUAGAAACCAGUCAUGCAACAGAACGAAUUGCUCAUUGUCCUGUCCUCCAGACAAACCAAGGAGAAAGAAAGAACAGCUGUUGUGCAAGUUGGAAGUACUGAGCUUUUUGGUACCACUGUCCACUUGUCGAAACAACACAAUUUCAUGCAAAGGAGUCUAUUAUCUAUCUAUUGGUGAGAGAAGAACUUUGAAUGGUG
rnacentral:lncRNA from 1 species